CAUACCUGGAAGCACAAUAAAAUAGGAGGCUGAGCCCUAACACCAUGGAGCACUGUGACACUGCUGGACGCCCACCUCUGGACUUUCACAGAAGACAGAAAUGAACAACCUUGUGUAAGCCACUGUUGUUUCGGGUUUUCUGCCACUCAUGCACUGUAUGUCUUAGACUCUGCUUCUGGAAAGUCCCCUUGAACCCCCAAGACUGGGUAAGUGCCCCCACACUUUUUCCUUUCUUCACAUUUUCUACAUUUUUCUGUACUCACCCAUUCACUCCCCCUAGAUGGUAACUUCUUCAAGGAUAGGCAGACACUAAUUUGUACAUCAUUUUACACAGAUGCUAGAAACUCCUAAAGCAGUAACAAUGAUAACUUGUGGACAUGACAGAUGCAAUGAUUCCACCGAGGGCAUCAAGGGAAGAUGACAAACUGCUGCAUACUCUCUGCAUUAAUGGGUCAUUGCCAAGUCACCUUGGGUGGGGGUGGGGAGCCACGUGCCCUUCUAAAGAGCCAAAAAUAGAGAAUUAGGGGGAGGAGGGGAGAGGAAGGGACAGGAAACUCAAGUCAUCAAGGAGGUGGAUGUGAUUGGAAAAGGGUGCUCUCCCAAUUUGUAUCCUUCUAUUUUCCACACCUAGGCUCUUUUCAGCUUCCCCUGGCUCUAGCCCCACCCUCUUUCGUCCUGGUCUUCUAUUAGUGGCAUCUAUGUCCCCUUGCCUUGAUUAUACCCAACUACAUUCCUAUUUCACAGUGGCCCUGGUACAUGCAGAGAGAGAGGGAGAAAGAUGGCAGCUCUUUUUACUCUUCUCUCAUUCCUUUAUCCCACCAGCAUCCACUGCACCCCUGUACUGCUUAGACCUGUGGAUGCACCUCUCCCUAUUGCAAGCUAUCACCGUCCUUCAUGUGACCUUGAUCAGGAAAAAAAACUGUGAAAGUCUAAUUGUUUCCUCUCUACUGGUUGGAAAUGUGGUGACUUUGUGACGUAAGCAAAAGUAUCAAGAGGGAUCAAGAAAGGCUGCUUUAGGAGCUGAUUCAGUUGGGAGAAUCUCAUCCAAAUCUGUAUCUACUGGAUGGAAGAGGCUGAGGAGCAGAGUGGGAGGACCAAAGAAAAGUAAAAUAGAGGCACAGAAAUGAAAGGCAGUGGCCAUUGCUGCUUGUCAUAAAUAUUCUAUAUAGGACAUGCUUCCCUCUCUCUUCCCCAUGAUCCACCCACAGAUUUGCCAUUACCAUGGAAGUUACCCUGGCCACUGGAAUGUGAGCAGAGGUGAUGGGUCACUAGCAGGUGGAAGCCUUUAAGAACUAGAGUCCAAUUUGCCACACAUCCCCUUUCCCUGCAUCCAUCAGCCUUUUUCUCUAAGUGACCGAUGAGCAGGGCCCCCAGCCAACCCAUGUUGGUUGUGAGUGAGCAAUAAACCUUAAUUGUUUGAAUCACUGA